rnacentral:misc_RNA from 1 species
UUUUUUUUUCCUUUUUUUUUUGUCAGUGUUUAAUAUACUUCUUGACACGUUUUAUGGCUCCGUUUGGGAGGCGAAAAAGCUUGUUUGAAACUGCUUUUUGGAAAAACAUCCUUUAAGAUGCUGUUAGAAAAAGCAUUUUGAAAAGCCUUGUAGUUUUUAUGACUAAAACACAUCAAAUUUCUAUUAAAAUCAAAGUUUAAAAGUCCUGAAUAAACAUUUUUAAGAUAUUGCUUUUCUCAAUAGCAGCUCAAACAUCAAUGAUGCAUUUACCCUAAAUCUAGUACAUACACAAAACCAUACUUCUGCUGCAGUGCCAGAGCUUUAGGGUAUGCUCUUACCAGUUAUUAGAUUUCAGGACAAGGGAAAUAUUGGGAAACAGAUCUGCCCUUUAGGACUUCUUUGGUAGAGGUUAACAAUCAAUCAAAUGGAAAUUUAAAUUG